rnacentral:lncRNA from 1 species
AUGUCUGGAAGCAUGCUGGAGACUGUCCUCAAACACUGGGACUCCCGUGGGAGCUUGGAAUGCAACGUUCAUCUCAACUUCUCCAGGCCUGUGUACACAGUGCAAACACGGGAGGCAGGCUUCUUUGGUCUGCUUAAUGCUGUCCCUGUGGAGGUCAGGAGGUUUAUUCUGGCCCAUAGCCAGCAAACCAACAGCCAUUUUGGGCCCCUAGAUACAGACCAAGGAAACAUCAAAGACAAAGAGGAAGAUUGGGACUCUCAUUGGUCCAGUAAAUCAUCAGUGUUCGGUACAUCCGAUAUGAGGCCUGGAGGAGUCUUGAACCCAACAGCAUGUCUAUGUCUGGAAGACAUUCUUCUUUUUACCGUGACCCAACAGCACUAUCCUCAGUAUGAUGUAUUAUUGGCACAGGACCAAGAACUGGCACGAUCUGCCCACUGCCUUUUUUCCAUAAGUCUCCAUGAGCCUGGGGUGUACGCCUUCAAACUCAGCAGCCACCAACAUAGGCACAUGUAUGUGAGGGUAGUGCCUGCAGGCGGAGAGUGUUAUGACACUGGACCCUUCUUCCCUUCAGACCCACAUCAUUUGACUCGCAUGGGCAUCGCACAGAGGCGCCAACUGCUGCUCCGCCCCGAUUGGCUGAUGAUCGGUGGGCUUUUAGUUGGAGCUGUGGUAAUCCUGUGCAUCACAAUAUUGAUCCUGUUCAGGGAGUACGGUUGGCCUGAGAAACUGCCAGCUCAGGCCAGGUACCGUGAUCUGCAGCUCAGGUACAACAUGGACGACUAUUCAUCGAAGGGCUCCAGAGUGGUGUCUGUGAAAAAAACACAUCGAAACCUGCAGGUGGGGUUGACUGAGGAUUCAGUACAGAGAGGUGAAACAGCUCUAUCAGGUGGUGCUGGGGAAGCUGAGAGAGCUCCACCCUGGCUGGAGGAUGUUUGGAGGGAAAACCGAAGGUCUGGAGAGGCAGGUGCAGCAGGAGAUGGUGUGACGGAGAGCACUGGGCAAUCAGCUGACAAAGCUACUGGACAGCCAGCUGCAGAUCCUGCGGGUGGAGAUGAGAGCGCAGCGGGCCAUGCAGAAGACCUUCAGUGCGUGACUGAGAGAGAGCGUGAGGCUUCUGAGACUGUUGGCUGAGGGUCAGACCUCGCUCUGGGUUAAACACAUCAAGCAACAGUAUGGAGAGGCAGAUAUGUAUCUGUUUUAUCUCCGCUUGCUUAUUCAAGUGUAUGUGUGUGUUUGAAACUUGGUGACACACUUAAAGAAAAAUUCUAAACCACAGAAAAGUGGUUCAUAACUACAUUAAUGCUGUCAAUAUUAUCAAAUUAAACAUUCAAUCUUGAAUAAUUAAUCAAAUGAUUAAUUAAUCACACUUAAUCACAUAUAUAUUAUAUAUACAAAAGCCUCCAAAUGAAGACAUUGCAUUAUUGUGCCAGAAAAAUGCAUUGAAUGGAUAUAACAAAAAAGUGAAUGUAGAAGGCAGUAUACAAUAAAGUUUUUUUUUUUUUUAAGAAAUUAGCACUUCAGCAAGGAGACAUUUAAUUAAUCAAAAGUGACAGUAAAGACAUUUAUAAUGUUAUUUAUAAGGUUCAUAUGUCAAAUAAAUGCUGUUCUUUUGAGCUCUAUUCAUCAAAGAAUCAUGAACAAAUGAUCAUAGUUCCAUACAAAUAUUAAGCAGCAAAAACAUUGUUUUCAGCAUUGAUAACAAUAAGCCAUGUUUACUGAGCAUCAAAUCAGCAUAUUAGAAUGAUUUCUAAAGGACUGUGACAAAUGUAGCCUGGAGUAAUGAUGCUGAAAAUUCAGCUUUGCCAUCACUGAAAAGAUUACAUUAUAAAAUAAAUAAAUUCUAAUAGAAAGCAGGUAUUUUACAUUGCAAAAAUACUUCACAGUAUUGCUGUUUUUACUAUACUUUUUAAUCAAAUAAAUGCACAUGCUGAGAGAUUUCUAAGAGACUUCAUUCAAAAACAUUUAAAAAUCUUACCAACCCCAAGCAUUUGAAUGGUGGUGCUUUUUUAUUAUUAUUAUUUCAUAUCAUUGAAGUCUAUCACUGGCCUGCAGAUCACUGUGAUUUUUACAAUUUACUGUUUUACAAUUAAGUUGUCGAUCUGUCCGAGGUAGGCUAUUCACAUAGGAUGGAUUAUUUUAUUUCAGCUGUCAUAUUUUUAAAAUGUACACAUCCAGGCAGGACCCCUCAAAGGGCUCAAAUUAACCUGUUGUCAUUUAUAUCAGUGUUAACUAAAAGCAUUAGAAUGUUAUUGUGUGUCUUCAUUUAGAUAGCUAAGUGUGUGAAUGUGUGUACUCAAAAUGGUUUCUGAAUGUCAAAAUUGUCAAGGUUCUCAAUGACUGUAUUGUAAUUAUUGGUAGAAAAACAUAGUUUGUAUAACUGAGAAUCUCUUAGUAUCAUCUUCGUCCCAGCCCUCUUAUCGCAUUUCCAGAUCCAUAAUCACAAAGGAAGUGAGUAGCUUAAAGCUUUGUUCAGAGUGCACUCAAUAGUGAUUUAUUUUCACAUCCGAUCUUUAGGAUUGACAGUCUAGUGGGUGCUGUGAUGAAACUGAAUCUGUUUGUUUAGGAUGUGCUGUAUAUCCAAUAUAUCUGCACGGCUGCAGUAAUAUUCAUGCAUUAGCAUAAUAUGAAGAGAGUUAAAAGAAUGUAGGUUUCAUUGUGGAAAAAGAGGAGGGGAAAACUAGACUAGACAUGACUGUAUGAUGUCAGUGCUGAACUCAUGAGGCACAUCAGAUAACAUAAGCAGAGGCAUCAGCAAGGUGUCCUUGAUGCCCAGGAAGGGCACGACACAGCCAGGCCACAGUAAAACCAACGUCUGCCUGACUUCGUGCCUCUGGAUCUACCCAGCCUGCCCUUCACCUCCCUCAGUACCUCCCUCUGAUUACACACUUCUAAGCCCAAAUCCUCCACUCAUCCCAAUGUGUUGACAUUCCCUAACAUUAGUUUUUGUCAAAAUAUCAUAGUAAACCCAUUAUAAAUUAUUUUUCCUUAAAAAAAAAAAAACUUUAAAGUGUAUAAAUUGUUUCAUUAUCAUUGUUAUUUAAAUGUUAUGUUAAUCUAUGAUUCAUAAGCUACUGUAUAUGUUGUGCACUGCAGUGUUCUGGAGCGAGUGGCUGUGCUGUCUGAUGAGAUGACUGAGAUGGUAUCAGUGGAGAGCCAAAGGCUGGGGGCCUGGGUUGUGCUUAAAGAGCGCACUGGAGCACAUCUAUUGUGCCCUGCUACUGGAUCGGUCCUCAGUAGGGAAGACGUCAUCGGUGAGACCUUUUAAAUAAUAUGUCUGAGUCGUUUACAGAUAUUAACCAUGCAAUUCAGACCUAAUGCUAUUUACAGUCAGUUACUGUGCAAUCAUGUCCCCUAGUGGAAUAUAAUAGAAAAUAGCCAUAAGACUUGAAAAGUCUUGCACCACUAGGUGGAGGUAUUUUACAACAUUGCCCACGUUUUGCUGGUCAAAUCCUGACAAAUAGCUUCUGAGGCUCAACUUGGCAUGUCUGUGGCAUGACUGAUUGAUUAAAGUCUGCGGAAACACAGAAAGAUUUCACUCUUUUUCCCUCCGCAGCUCCUGAUGGAGCUGUUAGAGCUUGUGAUGCUGUUCAUGUUAGACCCCCCCCACACAGGCCUAAUUCAACCCAACUCUAACGCCCAUAUGUUACUGGCCAGUGGACACAGCAUGCCAGUGCCCCCGGACUUCUUCCUGCACCCCCAGACUGGCAAGCUACUGCCUGUGGCUGGAAACGUGGGCUUUGAUCCUGCUUCCUCCACCCUUGUCUUUACAGCCCAUGCUUGUGUGGAUGAGUCACUCGGGUGCUAGUUAGUACAUCUAAAUGAAUAUUCUAAGUUCAGUACAAGUUAAGCUCAAUUGACAGCACAUGUGGCUUAAUGUUGAUUACAGCAAAAAAGAAAAAAGACUCAAGAAAAAAAAGAAUGGAUGUUACGAUGAGGUGCGUAGAAUAUAAGUACAAGGGGCCAGUUUUUGAAGGAUGUACAGUUUUUUAUUUUAAAAGUACUUGCAUUAUUUUUUUGCUAAACUUGUGUAGUAGUCUAUAUGAGCUGUAGAGUUAUUCCCGCCA